UGUUCUGUGGCUUAAUUGGUUAAAGCGCCAGCCUAGCGAAUACGGAGUUGUGGGUUCGAAUCCCACCAAAAUGC
rfam:Aedes albopictus isolate Foshan contig110906, whole genome shotgun sequence.